AGCUGCGCGCAGUGGCAGUAUUGUAGCCAGUGAGGCUCACCUGAGGCGUGAUCAUUGCUGACUGAAAACAUUUCACCCUGUUGGGACAACUUGAAAUAAAUAUACUUUUUAUACUUUUUAAUAUGCUUUAGAAAAAAAUCUUUU